CAGCAGUAGUCUCCCAGCAGGAUGUGUCCCAAAGGUGCACUGGCAUUUGGCUCAGUGGUUCCGCCGCCUGCCUCACAAGCCAAGGACCCGAGUUUGAUCCCUGGUACCAAAAAAGCCCAAAAAAACCCCAAAGGUGCACUGGCAAAAAUACAGAAAAGAUGCGGGCACAAAGCCAUUAACUGCAGCAUGAUUUAUAAUAGACAAAACUGAACCUAUCUAUCUGACCCCUAGGUGUGAUCGGUUGGAUAAGCAAGGAAACCCCCACAUCUGAGCACCUACACUUGGAAGAGGACACUGUUCAGAGUGACCUUUGGCACCGAGUGCAGGACAGUCCAGAAGUGGGUUGGGUGAGGUGUUGCCAGGUGGAGGACUAUUGAAUGUGCUGUGCAUUUGCCUAUGUUGGAAAUCCUGUGGAUUUGGAGAAGAUGGUGGCAGAAGCAAGAAUUUUGAAUCCCCUCGAGUCCUCCCAUAAAACUCAGAGCAGCAAGCAGAAAAACGAAGCUCAAGGGCAUCCUCACGAGCAGACCCUGACUCUGGGGUUCACAUCUAUCCGUGGGAAAUGCAAGACGCGGGGACAGGCAUUCUGGGUUGCAGGCAGAAACCCAGGGCAAUGGACUGUUUUUGCCACAGGCCACUCAAAAGGGAAUGAAGGUAUGCAAGGGAAAUAAUGGGUUGCAAAGGGAGGGGAGGGAGGGUGGUGCCUUCCUUAGGGUCUGACUAACCCGA
rnacentral:lncRNA from 1 species